AUUAUUACUGAAGGAAAUCUAAGAAUUCCAGGAAUUUGAGUAUUUCUAGAAAAAUUGUAAAUCCCAGAGCAGAUAUAUCAGCCAUCUGGGGACCAAAAACUAACCUCUUUUUGUUUGUUUGUUUUCCCUUUUACACCACACCUGUGGCAUAUAGAAGUUCCUGGACUAGGGGUGGAAACGGAGCUCCCGCUGCAGGCCUCCACCAUAGCCACAGCAAUGCUGGAUCUGAGCAUCUGUGACCUACAGCUUCCUGCAAAGCCGGAUUCUUAACCCACUGAGUGAGGCCAGGGAUCAAACCCACAUUUUCACAGACACCUGUGUCAGGUUCCUAAGCAGCUGAGCCACCAUGGGCCCUCCAGAGCUAAGCUCUUUGAUGCUAUAACAAGGUAACCUGACAUCAUAGGAGCCCACUACCUCAUUUUACAGGCACCGCCUAGAAUUGGUUACAGGCCCUGUAACUGGGGGUGAUUCAGGGUUUUUUGGGGGGAGGGUGUCUCUCUGCUGGUCGGCCCCGCUUCCCUUCCAUCUUCUCCCUCCUGGCUCAGCCUGGACCACUGCAGUAGCAGGACUGCCCCUGUGCCACACAAGGCCGCUGCUGCCACCUCCCUGCAGGACAGCCCCAAUUCGAACUUGACCCGCUCAGUCUUCAGAGGUAGACAGGUCCACUCCUCACCUGACCACACCCCCUGUCAGUCUGAAGGGCCCCCCCCACAACCUCACCCAUCUCUGCCCAGAAUCUUCUCCUCGCCCUGCACCCAAUGCUGCCCCCUUUCCAGGUGGGUCUCGGACCUAGCCCCUCAGGAUCCGCUCCUGGUUCCCUCCCUCCUCGCAACCGGGGUGAUCUCUCGAACCUCACUUCCCUUUCGGCUUUUGUGGGUUUUAAAAUUUCAGCUCAAAAAUUCCAUUCUUUCCAGAAGUCCCCUUGGGAGUGAGGACCUUAAGCCUCACACAGAGCGUGCCUGGCAGGAACCAGAAGGGCAGAGUAAGGCCUGUAGCAUCUGACCGCCGGUUUCCACCAGAAUUCACACUCCCAGUGGACUUCCUCGCAGGGGUUUGCGUGGCUUCGAACAGGUCCCUGGCCUCUCUUAGCCUCAGGUUCCAGAUUUAUCAAGGAAGACAAGAACCGCCCCUGUCUCACAGGCUCACCACUGUCUGAAGCACCUCGGGGACCCCCCCCCCAGCACCUCUCACACCAUCAGGUGCUGCUCGGGUGGUUCCAGUAGGUGCUCAGUAAAUACCAGACCCCUCCAACCCCCACCAGCUGCUGGACGGGAUACCCCAGGCUCUGGUUCCAGCCAACUGCCUUCACCUGCUGGUCCGUCAGAGCUUUUGAACUACCUUCACCUGCUGGUCGGUCAGCACUUUUAUAAGAGUUGCUAACAGGCAGAAGGGUUGCUGGGUUUGAGUUUCAGCUCUUCCCUCUAACCCGGUACCUUCUGAGGAGGUGCUAAUGACCAGUGGGCUGUAAGGGAGGCGGAGGAGGCAGCAGCCAAGGAGCUUGGACAGUCUUGUGCUGGAUAAUCGGCCCUGGAAUCAGCGAGGCCUAACAGGCAUCCCAGAGCCCAGCGCGCCAUCCCACUUGGCCCCAAGAGGAGAGUAACUGCAGGGCCAGAGCGGCGGUCCUGGUUCCGGAGGAGUUCUGGGAAGAAGCCCAAGUCGAAUCUCUCUGUCUGGCCCAACAUGCAGUCAAAUAACUAGACACACAAGAAAAUGCACAAAUAAAAAACCCAGAGAACAGAUCCACAGAGAAUCCAGACAACGGAGGUUUUAAUGAAGACUUUAAAAUAAUCAUGCUUGAUAAGCUCAAAGAUAUAAAAGGUAAAAUUGAGAUUUUUUUGACAGAGAAAAAUCAAAUGGAAACGAUAGAACUGAAAAUUACAAUUACUGAAAUGAAGAACUUAUUGGAUUGGAUUAAUAGAAGAUUAAACACAGCUGAAUAGAAAAUUAAUGAACUGAAAGGUCACUAAAAAUAUUUGGAAUGGUAAUUUGAAUGAUGAGGAAAAAAAAAAAGAAUAAGAGACAUGGAGAUUCUGUGACAAGCUCUAAUAUAACAAAGUACAAUUAGAAUCCCAAAAGUGGAGGAGAGAAAUUGAGCAGAAACAAUUGGAGAGAGAGCUGGGAAUUUGGAAAAAAAAAAUUGAUAAAUGACAUCAAGCCAUAGGUUCAAGAAUCACUAUAAACUUCAAGCAGGACAAGAAAAACCAGAGUAAAAUUAGAGCAUGUUAGAGGAAAAUUGUUCGAAACCGUUCCAGAGAAUUCACAGCAAAUCACUGCCAACUUAGAAUCAGUGAAAACAUCCUUCAUGAAUGAAAGUAAAAUAGGAACCUUUUCAGCCAAAAAUGGAUGAGUUUGUCACCAGCAGACAUGUACUAAAGGAAAUACUAAAGAAUGUUCUUUGCACAGACAUGAAAUGAUCACAGGCAGAAAUAAGUAUAGAAAGAAAUAAAGAGUAAUGGAAACAUAAAUAUGUAGGGAACAUAAAUAUUGGUUAUGAUGAUGCUUUGUGGAAUGUAUAAUGUAUGUAGAAUUAAAAUGCAUGACAACAAUAUCACAUGAGAUCAGAAGUGGACGAUGGGUAAGUUUAAGUUUCUUGUAUUAUCAGAAGUUAAAUAUAAAAUAACAUUAGACACUAUAGUAAUAGACGAGUGUACACACAUGAUGCAUGUAAUCACCCCCAUGUAUACACGCACACAUGGAGAAGAAAGAUAGGACGUGUCCAUCAAAAUGUUAAUUGUGGUUAUAUGGGGGUGGAAGUGAUCUGGUUAAUUUUCUCUUUGCUUUGCUUAUCUGUUUAAAUUUUUUUUCGUAUGUGGAGAAGGGAACCUCAAGGAAGCUCUGCCUUGUAAUUUUAUGACUUGUCUAUUUCCCUUGUUAGCUCUUGUGAGCUAACGCCAGA